GUGGAUGUAGCUCAGCGGUAGAGCUCCUGACUGUGGAUCAGGCGGUCGUGGGUUCAAAUCCCAUCAUCCACC
rfam:Bacterium TMED15 isolate TMED15 149573, whole genome shotgun sequence.